CAAUCGAACCCGGAGAUAGCUGGUUCUCCCCGAAAUAGCUUUAGGGCUAGCGUCGGAAAGAACCUUAGUGAAGGUAGAGCACUGAAUGUGUGAUGGCCCCAUCCCGGGGUACUGAAUACAAUCAAACUGCGAAUGUCAUUAAGGAUGUCCGGCAGUCAGACUGUGAGUGAUAAGGUCCAUGGUCAAGAGGGAAACAGCCCAGACCGCCAGUUAAGGUCCCAAAAUACAGGCUAAGUGGAAAAGGAUGUGGGGAUGCCCAGACAACUAGGAGGUUGGCUCAGAAGCAGCCAUCCUUUAAAGAGUGCGUAACAGCUCACUAGUCGAGUGACCCUGCGCCGAAAAUGUACCGGGGCUAAGCCUGAUACCGAAACUGCGGAUUGUAGGAAACUAUAGUGGUAGGGGAGCGUUGUAUACGAGCAGAAGCCGUACCGUGAGGAGCGGUGGAUUGUAUAGAAGUGAGAAUGCCGGUGUGAGUAGCGAGAUGUAGGUGAGAAUCCUACACACCGAAAGCCCAAGGAUUCCAGGGGAAGGUUCGUCCGCCCUGGGUAAGUCGGGACCUAACGCGAGGCCGAAAGGCGUAGUGGAUGGAAAGCAGGCGAAAGAUUCCUGCACCCGUAUAUGGAGCGAAGGAGUGACGGAGACGGAUAGUGUGACCCUCUUAAUGGAUUGAGGGCGAAGCGAAGCGGCUGGUUACCAGGCAAAUCCGGUAACCAUAAGGCUAGAGCGUGACAGGUAAGCGAAAUCUUCGGAAAGUAGCGAAGCACAUGAUGACGGCUUCCAGGAAAAGCUUCUGGCAAUGCAUAUGCGGCCCGUACCAAAACCGACACAGGUGGGCAGGGAGAGAAUCCCGAGGUGAGCGAGAGAACUGUUGCCAAGGAACUCGGCAAAAUGACUCCGUAAGUUAGCGAGAAGGAGUGCUUAAGCAAUUAAGCCGCAGUGAAGAGGCCCAAGCGACUGUUUAACUAAAACACAGCUCUCUGCGAAGUCGCAAGACGAAGUAUAGGGGGUGACACCUGCCCGGUGCUGGAAGGUUAAGAGGAUCUGUUAAGAGCGAUCUGAAGCAGUGAUCCGAAGCCCCAGUGAACGGCGGCCGUAACUAUAACGGUCCUAAGGUAGCGAAAUUCCUUGUCAGGUAAGUUCUGACCCGCACGAAAGGUGUAACGAUUUGGGCGCUGUCUCGGCAGCAGACUCGGUGAAAUCUUAGUACCUGUGAAAAUGCAGGUUACCCGCAACUAGACGGAAAGACCCCAUGGAGCUUUACUGCAGCCUGAUAUUGAAUUCUGGUCAUACAUGUACAGGAUAGGUGGGAGACAAAGAGACGUGCACGCCAGUGUACGAGGAGUCGACGUUGGGAUACCACUCUUGUGUGACCGGGGUUCUAACCUGGUAUCGAGAACAGGUACGGGGAGAGUGUCAGGUGGGCAGUUUGACUGGGGCGGUCGCCUCCCAAAGAGUAACGGAGGCGCCCAAAGGUACGCUCAGAUUGGAUGGAAACCAAUCGUCGAGUGCAAUUGCAGAAGCGUGCUUGACUGUGAGACAGACAAGUCGAACAGGGACGAAAGUCGGGAAUAGUGAUCCGGCGGUGCCGAAUGGAAGGGCCGUCGCUCAACGGAUAAAAGCUACCCUGGGGAUAACAGGCUGAUCUCCCCCAAGAGUCCACAUCGACGGGGAGGUUUGGCACCUCGAUGUCGGCUCAUCGCAUCCUGGAGCUGAAGUCGGUUCCAAGGGUUGGGCUGUUCGCCCAUUAAAGCGGUACGCGAGCUGGGUUCAGAACGUCGUGAGACAGUUCGGUCCCUAUCUGUUGUGGGCGAAGGAGAUCUGCGGAGAGCUGUCCUCAGUACGAGAGGACCGGGAUGGACCUACCGCUGGUGCACCGGUUGUUCCGCCAGGGGCAUAGCCGGGUAGCUAAGUAGGGAAAGGAUAAGCGCUGAAAGCAUCUAAGCACGAAGCCUACUCCAAGAUGAGAUCUCCCAUUCGCAAGAAGUAAGACCCCUUAAAGACGAUAAGGUAGAUAGGCCAGGGAUGGAAGUGCAGUGAUGUACGGAGUUGACUGGUACUAAUCGGUCGAGGACUUAAUCAG
rnacentral:rRNA from 1 species